rnacentral:rRNA from 1 species
CCUACGGGAGGCAGCAGUGAGGAAUAUUGGUCAAUGGCCGAAAGUCUGAACCAGCCAAGUAGCGUGAAGGAUGACUGACCUAUGGGUUGUAAACUUCUUUUAUAUGGGAAUAAAAUGUUCCACGUGUGGAUUUUUGUAUGUACCAUAUGAAUAAGGAUCGGCUAACUCCGUGCCAGCAGCCGCGGUAAUACGGAGGAUGCGAGCGUUAUCCGGAUUUAUUGGGUUUAAAGGGAGCGUAGGUGGAUUGUUAAGUCAGCUGUGAAAGUUUGUGGCUCAACCGUAAAAUUGCAGUUGAAACUGGAAGACUUGAGUACAUUAGAGGUAGGCGGAAUGCGUGGUGUAGCGGUGAAAUGCUUAGAUAUCACGAAGAACUCCGAUUGCGAAGGCAGCUUACUAGACUGUAACUGACACUGAGGCUCGAAAGUGUGGGGAUCAAACAGGAUUAGAUACCCGUGUAGUC